GCUUCCGGAGAUUGGCGGACCACAGUCCGGAGCUCAUAGCGCCCCUUGAUGGCUUUUCGGGAAGGGAAUCUCACAGAAAAGUCAUUCAAGGCUUUGGGGAAGAGGUAAAUCCAGGACAUGUCGUCGUGAGCCUAAUCAGAAUGAGCUUUAACAGAUGAAAGACAUGAUGUGACAGGACCAUCUAUCAACUCGUAAACUUCUUCAUACCUUGGAAAUAGCUUGAUAAAACCAGGAGCUAGGGGAUCACAGAGUCCCAUCCAAAACAGAGAGCAAGACAGAAAAGAUACACAUUUGCAGAAAAUGUGCAUGUUCAACUUGAUGUGUAGAUGUGGAGGUAACUUCUAUAAUUGAAGCAGAGAUGAGGUCAACCUUAUCAUGAUCCAACAUUUGUUCAGCUGCAAACAAUUUGAAGCCUCUCNUUUCUUCUCUGUUGGAGCAGCUAACAUGCAAAUCUCCAGAUCUUACUGAACAAUAGCAAGAGCUGCAAAGGUGUGGAGACCUAGAGGGGAGUGCUUCUGGGCCAGAGCACGUGCUUCAUCCCAGGAACAAGGUGGGGGGGCAGGCUGUGUGGGUCUGUGCAAACUUCAAAGGCCAGGAAAUGAAAGUUCCCUGGCAUUGUAGUUUCUUUCUGGGCCCAUGAUAUGAAGCACCCUAAAUAGCCCUGGAAAAUGUGCCAUUUUCAGUACUUUGCAUUAUGGAGCCAGGCAGCUAGCAAGGUCCAGUGGUUGCCUGUUGGCUUCUAGAGUUUACCAUUAUGCAGUGACUUUUUGUAAUGUAGUUCUUAUGCAC
rnacentral:lncRNA from 1 species